CGCGCGCGCACACACGGUGGUAUCUUGCGGGUGAUGACUGUGAUAAUUGGACAAGGGACGAGUGACCCUUCGGUGAGAAUACAGCAGGGAGGCAGCGUGCAUAGUGACAAUGGGCAGUGGGUCCCAUGGGAACAGAAAGUUUUGAGGGAGUUUACUGUUUGUGCAAGAUGACUGGUUGGGUAAAGAAGUCAAAAGUGUUUUAUCUGCAGAACAAAUAAAGCCCGGGCAAAGGUGCUCCUGCAGGCUGCUAGGUUGCAAGCGAUCACUGCCUUCUGGCUCAUCCAUGGUUGUUGUGAAACACCCAGUAUCUAAGCGAACAGGUGGGCACCUGAAGGCACCUCUACCAGGCCAAACAGCCCAGCUAGUAGGUUCCCAGCCCCUGAUUUCUCAAGACAAGGACCAUACAGACCAGAAGAAGCCCAAGCAGCUGAAGAAUCAGAAAAGCAUCUUGGGCUUUUCUUCAAUACAUCAAUGUGCUCAGUGGACAGAACACGAAUGUGGCAGCCUGAGAGAAAAAGAAAUCUUUCCAUCCAGCAUCAGAACUGGGAACCUGGGUGAGAAAGAACCAGUUUUCUAUCUUGGCAGCGGGAUGGGGAGAUAGCCUGGGAUGCUGGUCCUCACCAAGGUCAAACAAAGUUAGAGGUUAGCGGUUUUGAAGCAAUGUUUCCAUGCCUGUUCCCGGGGAGCGGGUGGCAUCAGCCCUGUGUUUUCAUGGUGUGUAAGGUCAUUACACGGGUCUCUGCAUGGUGUGCUGGACAGAGGGGCAGAGACCCUGGGCAGUGCAGGGA